UACGAACUUUGCAAACGUUAUUCGGAAUCACUGGGCUUAAAGGGUGCGUAGGCGGCUGUCUAAGUAGGGUGUGAAAGCCCCCGGCUCAACUGGGGAAUUGCGCCCUAAACUGGAUGGCUGGAGUGAGACAGGGGUGUGUGGAACUUCCGGUGGAGCGGUGAAAUGUGUUGAUAUCGGAAGGAACGCCGGUGGCGAAAGCGACACACUGGGUCUCAACUGACGCUGAGGCACGAAAGCCAGGGGAGCAAACGGG
rnacentral:rRNA from 1 species